UUUGAGGUCUGUGACUUGCUCGGAGUUGCUGUGCUUCAUGCAUCCAUGUAGUCCUCUAUGAGAGUAUCCCCCGGUCCAAAUAGUCAUGUCCAUGAUUUUGAGUUGCUGUGCAGCUGUGCUUCAGACAUCCAUGCAGUCCCCUAAGGGAUCACCAUCCAGGUCCAUUUUUCGUCAAAUUGUUGUGUCCAUGCUUCGAGUUUCUGUGCAUCAGGCAACCAUGUAGUCUUCCACGGGAUCACCCCCAUGUCCAUUCAAAAUGUCGUCUCCAUGCUUCAAACUGCUGUGCUU